rnacentral:lncRNA from 1 species
AGCUCUGUCAAACGCUGCUGCUGGGUGGAGCUCCCUGAAGACAGAGAGUGAACCCUUGGUUUUCGCCAUGUAGAGGUCUGCUGUGCUGAGACUCAUGGCAAACCCCAGGAGCCACCUAUGAUGUGCCAGACACAUAAGCCCCUCCCUCACAGGCGUGGGUGCAGCCGGGGCCGACCGCAUUCCAAGGAGCAUUUCCUCUGAAAGCCAGGCCAAGUGCCCGCUCUCCAGCGUGAGUCAAGCAGUGCCAUGCCUCCCACACCCCUUGCAUCACAUCUCUGGGAAUGCACAGACCUUGCUGUUACGCUCUCUCUUCCCACCCUUUAUGGGUGUUUUCUUUAAGUGGCAGAAGGAAGUGGGCAUGGGUUGGGAGAGGACCAUGAAUUCUAGUUUCUGCCAUACUGCAGGUGGAUUUGGGGAAGAAGAGAGUCUCCUUUCUGGCCCACACCACAGGGACAUUCAGAAGCAGUUGUUAAAGGGGGAGCAGCAUUGGCUGGGCCCAGGGAAGGACAAGUAGAUGACUGUAUAAAGCCAGGCAUGAGAGCAGUUGGAAUAAGUUGUUUCACUCAUAAAUUUAUGGUGAGCCUUGUCCAUAUUGUUAAUGGCAUAUUCUUGUGAAGCAGACCUACAUACUUCUGAAAAGCACGGCCUUGUUCCCUGCUCAGCUAACUCUGUCUGAUCUCCUGACAUAUAUAUGUGGCAAUUUGGAAUUCUAAGCAGAGUUCAAAAUUCUAGGCCAAGAUUGGGAUUUGGAGGAGAAAAGGGGCCAGUUCCAGAGCAAGGGGAAGAAUAAAAUCUCUCCACUGUGGACACUGAAAUGAGACUGAUAAUGACCUAUUUAUUAUCCAUCUAGGGCAGACCCCACAGGCAGGGGUCAUGCAUGGGGGAGUUCAAAACCUAGUUCAUCAGGUUCUUUCCUCCAGGAUUUUGGUCUAGGCAACAUCAGAUGAAAACGAACACUAAGGGCAAUCCUGAAGAACCAAAAGAAACUGGCAAUGGACAGGUAUAAAAGUGUGUGUGCGCGUACCUGUGUGUGCGCGCGCAUCUGUGUGUGUGCGCGCACCUGUGUGCUUGCACCUGUGUGUGUGCGCGUACCUGUGUGUGCCCGUGUGUGCGCGCACCUGUGUGUGUGUGUGCACGUGCUGACAUUCAAGGCAACAGCAGGGCUUCUUUACUACUAAUCAACCUUUUUCUUCUCUGUUGGCCAUGCACUUCCGUAUGGCUCAGCAAACGUGCAAAGGAAGGAAUAGUGGGAGUUGGAG